CAGUAGCCGCGGUAAUACGUAGGGUGCGAGCGUUAAUCGGAAUUACUGGGCGUAAAGCGUGCGCAGGCGGUUUUGUAAGACAGGCGUGAAAUCCCCGGGCUCAACCUGGGAAUGGCGCUUGUGACUGCAAAGCUAGAGUGCGGCAGAGGGGGAUGGAAUUCCGCGUGUAGCAGUGAAAUGCGUUGAGAUCGGAAAGAACACCAACGGCGAAAGCACUCUGCUGGGCCGACACUGACACUGAGAGACGAAAGCUAGGGGAGCAAAUGGGAUUAGAUACCCGUGUAGUCCCUGUCUCUUAUAC
rnacentral:rRNA from 1 species